UACGUAGGGGGCAAGCGUUGUCCGGAAUCAUUGGGCGUAAAGCGCGUGUAGGCGGCUUGGUAAGUCCGCUCUGAAAGCCCGGGGCUCAACCCCGGGAGGCGGGUGGAUACUGUCAAGCUCGAGUCCGGAAGAGGCGAGUGGAAUUCCUGGUGUAGCGGUGAAAUGCGCAGAUAUCAGGAGGAACACCAAUUGCGAAGGCAGCUCGCUGGGACGUAACUGACGCUGAGACGCGAAAGCGUGGGGAGCAAACAGG
rnacentral:rRNA from 1 species